AGUGAACGCUGGCGGUAGGCCUAACACAUGCAAGUCGAACGGCAGCACAGGAGAGCUUGCUCUCUGGGUGGCGAGUGGCGGACGGGUGAGGAAUACAUCGGAAUCUACUUUUUCGUGGGGGAUAACGUAGGGAAACUUACGUUAAUACCGCAUACGACCUACGGGUGAAAGCAGGGGAUCUUCGGACCUUGCGCGAUUGAAUGAGCCGAUGUCGGAUUAGCUAGUUGGCGGGGUAAAGGCCCACCAAGGCGGCGAUCCGUAGCUGGUCUGAGAGGAUGAUCAGCCACACUGGAACUGAGACACGGUCCAGACUCCUACGGGAGGCAGCAGUGGGGAAUAUUGGACAAUGGGCGCAAGCCUGAUCCAGCCAUACCGCGUGGGUGAAGAAGGCCUUCGGGUUGUAAAGCCCUUUUGUUGGGAAAGAAAUCCAGCUGGUUAAUACCCGGUUGGGAUGACGGUACCCAAAGAAUAAGCACCGGCUAACUUCGUGCCAGCCGCCGCGGUAA
rnacentral:rRNA from 1 species